rnacentral:lncRNA from 1 species
ACUGUGGCAGAAGGAAAGGAAAAAUGGUGAACCACUUCCUGGCUCGAAAAGCUUCUGUGUGGAAGUGACACACAUCUCUUCUGUCUACAUUUCAGAAGGGAUGGGGCCAGGGAUGCUGAGGACACACCAUGUACCCUUUUUCAGGCCAUAUCCAGUAACAGAGUCUACUGCAUCAUAUUAACUGAUAAACCCAGGAUGACAAGAGAAACAUGGGACUCACUCUUCAUUUGCAUUGACUCCAGCUAAGAGCUUCAGUUUUCAUGCUUUGCUUCAGAAUUAUUGUGGUCUGAUGCAGAACUGAAAAGGCCAACACGAGAAUCUUCAAGUACAAUUGCCUGGGAAUCCUGAGGUCUGGACAGCAACACCUGAAUCUGAAUCUCUUUUGGGUUGAAUCAUAAAAGAAAAUAGUAUGGAGAGAUUUAAGGCCAGGCCUCUGGAGAAGGAAUUGAUAAAAUAUGUGGUAGUACCUGCGCUACAGAACAGAAUUCACUUGGAAGUUCUUGGCAUAUAGUAAGCACUCAGUAACUGUCAGUUAUCGCUCUCAUCUCUAUGAAGACUGUAUUUGACAUGACAUCAUCUCCAUAAGAUUCCUGAACUCA